AACGAACGCUGGCGGCAGGCUUAACACAUGCAAGUCGAACGCCCCGCAAGGGGAGUGGCGCACGGGUGAGUAACGCGUGGGAAUAUGCCCUUCGGUUCGGAAUAACACAGGGAAACUUGUGCUAAUACCGGAUACGAUCUACGGAUGAAAGAUUCAUCGCCGAGGGAGUAGCCCGCGUCAGAUUAGCUAGUUGGUGAGGUAAUGGCUCACCAAGGCGACGAUCUGUAGCUGGUCUGAGAGGAUGAUCAGCCACACUGGGACUGAGACACGGCCCAGACUCCUACGGGAGGCAGCAGUGGGGAAUAUUGGACAAUGGGGGAAACCCUGAUCCAGCCAUGCCGCGUGAGUGAUGAAGGCCUUAGGGUUGUAAAGCUCUUUCGUCGGGGAAGAUAAUGACGGUACCCGAAGAAGAAGCCUCGGCUAACUCCGUGCCAGCAGCCGCCGUAAGAC
rnacentral:rRNA from 1 species